rnacentral:rRNA from 1 species
UACGUAGGCAGCGAGCGUUGUUCGGAGUUACUGGGCGUAAAGAGUGCGUAGGCGGUUUUCUAAGUUUGGUGUGAAAUCUCCCGGCUUAACUGGGAGGGUGCGCCGAAGACUGGAAGGCUUGAGUAUGGGAGAGGUAAGCGGAAUUCCUGGUGUAGCGGUGAAAUGCGUAGAUAUCAGGAGGAACACCGGUGGCGAAGGCGGGUCUCUGGGCCGAUACUGACGCUGAGGAGCGAGAGCGUGGGGAGCGAACAGG